rnacentral:rRNA from 1 species
CCUACGGGAGGCAGCAGUGAGGAAUAUUGGACAAUGGGCGCAAGCCUGAUCCAGCCAUACCGCGUGCAGGAAGAAGCAUCUAUGGUGUGUAAACUGCUUUUGUACAGGAAGAAACACUCCCUCGUGAGGGAGCUUGACGGUACUGUAAGAAUAAGGACCGGCUAACUCCGUGCCAGCAGCCGCGGUAAUACGGAGGGUCCGAGCGUUAUCCGGAAUCAUUGGGUUUAAAGGGUCCGUAGGCGGUUUAAUAAGUCAGUGGUGAAAUCUGGUCGCUCAACGAUCAAACGGCCAUUGAUACUGUUAGACUUGAAUUAUAAGGAAGUAACUAGAAUAUGUAGUGUAGCGGUGAAAUGCUUAGAUAUUACAUGGAAUACCAAUUGCGAAGGCAGGUUACUACUUAUGGAUUGACGCUGAUGGACGAAAGCGUGGGGAGCGAACAGGAUUAGAUACCCUGGUAGUCCACGCCGUAAACGAUGGAUACUAGCUGUUCGGAGCAAUCUGAGUGNGUAGAGAAGAGAGUAGUAGUCCNCCGCGGGAGGUACGUUCGUCGAGAAGUUAGUAACGUUACGAAAGGAAGUUAGUUACGGCGUGAGACGNGCGACGGACGACGACGAGGGAGGAGG